UAUUUAUUUAUUUGCGGUACUGAGAAUUGAACCCACUGCCUCGCACAUGCCAUGCAAGUACGCUACUGCUGAGCCUGAGCCCCAGUACCUGUGUUUUUCUCUUGCACCGUAACUCCUAUAAUGCAUCUAUUGGUCUGCUUGUUAGUGCCAUAUAAGUCCUUUAGGUUCUUUUCACUUUAUUCUUUUUUCUUCUUGUUCCUCGGCUUGAUAAUUUCAAAUGUCCUAUAUUUGAGUUCCUUGAUUUUUUUCUUCUGUCUAUUCAAAUCUGUUGAGAACCUGUGGAUUUUUCAAUUUGGUUGUUGUAUUUUCAGUUCUAGAAUUUUCAUUUUGUUUAUAUGUUCUCCGGAUUUCCUUUAGUUUUUGUCCAUGUUUCCCUUUAGUUCUUUAAGCAUAUUUAAGAUGGUUGUUUUGAAGUCUUUUUCUAGCAAGUCUGAUGUCUGUGAUUCUUCAGUUGUAUUUUCUGCCCCUUUAUUUUCAUUCUUUGAAAAGACCUUGUUUUCCUUUUUUUUUUAAUGGGUUCCCCCCUCCUCCCAAUACCUCAUAGGGUUUUCUGCUGAAAAUUGGGAAUUUGAGGAAACAAUCACUUCACCUAGUCUUUGCAGAUUGCCAGGAACAAUAAAGACCAAGAGGCUCUUUCCUUCAUUGCCUGUGAAUAACAAUGUAAAAUGUUGAAUAGAAUGAGUCUUAUUUAGAACUACAAAUGUUUUACAAUGCACCUGAAAACCUAUUACUAAUUUUUUUCCUCACUAACAAAUAUCUCUGAACAUGUUAAGUAUCAAUUUUAUGCAAAAUAGUAACAUAUUUAAAUAAAGCAUUUGUGUUAUUUUCAUUUCUUACAAGCUUGAUUCCAGUGCCCUGUCUUAGGGCCAAAUAUAUGCUUGACAUAUUUAAAAUAAUGAAAUAUGAAGUUCUAAAGGCAGUUGGUUAUAGAGUGUUAUGGAUCCAAUUGGGUCUGUCCACCUUCCAUUCCCAAAAAUAUAUAUGUUGAAUCCUAACCCUGAGUACCUCAAAAUGAGACCUUAUUUGGAAAUAGAGUGAUUGUGCAUAAAUUUAGUUAAACUGAGAUAUGGUCAUACUGAGCUAGUAUGGGCCCCCAUACAUUAUGACAGAUGUCUUUACAAGCAGAUAGAGAUGUGGUGGCAAUGAGAGGGAGAACACCAUGUGAAAAUGGAAGCAGAAAUUGUACUGAUGCAUCUUCAAGCCAAGUAACACCAAGUAUGGUUAGCCAUAAUGAGAAGCCAAGAGUGAGAGAUUGAACAGAUUCUCUGUCAGAGCAAGGCACCAACCCUGUUUACACCUUUAUUUUUUACUUCUGACCUCUAGAACUGUAGGAGAAUAAAUUUCCAUUGUUUUAGGCA